AUAAAAGGGUGGGAAGGUUAAGGGAAAGAAUUCCAGCAUGAGUUGUUGUUCUCUGUAAUUACAGCUAUCAAUGCUGUUUUGAUUACAUGUCGGGAUGAUCAAGAAGACAGAGAUAGAAAUGCACAGGUAUCUUGGGUUGAGGGGAUAAUACAGAUAAAGGCACCCACAACACAAUGGCAAGAUACCAAAGCAAAAGUGGUAAUUUUAUAUUUGGGCUGUUGCUUUACUGUAGUUUGCGUAUACUGGAACUUUUGGGGUGAUUGCUCAAAGAGGUUUGAUUCACACUUGAAAUUUGGCAGCAAAGCUUUGAAUAAUCUUUAUUUUUUUUUUUGUACAAAGGAGGCUAAUUAGGAAGGUUUGACACAGUCAAAUCUGGAAGCACUGCCGGCAUUUAUUGUUUUAUGUGGUGCAGUUGUGACCUGAAGCAUUGACUCUCUUUCUCCUCAGAUGCCGCCUGACUUGCUGAAUAUUUUCCAGCAUUUUCCAUUUUUGUUUCAGAUUUGAGGCAUGUAUAAUGUUCGUUAAAUGGCUUGGUGCUUUAUCUGUUCAUGUCCUGCACAGUAUGGAAUUGUUUUACAACGUGAAGCCACGGAGCUCGCAGCAACAAAUGCCUGCAAUACCAGUGUCGAGACAGUUGAGGGAGCUGCAGAGCCAUUGACUGUAGUGCAGAUAUUGGUAAACACCAGUGGAUGCAGUUGUCAAAAGAAACUGUACUACAGUUCUAAGUGAUGUUCUCAUCCUUGUUUGUGGAAACUUGGUGGGCAGCCUGGCAGGCGACUGACUUGUCUACCUUUGACUGUGAAUACAGCCCACAGAGCUUCUCAACCACUGCCUGCAACCUGGAGACUCCAUGACACUGCGUAGCUCUACCUGACCAGUGAGGCCAAACACAAAGUUAACGAACAGCAUCUCAUAGUUCGCCUGGGUGGUCCACAAGCUGAUGGUGUAAACUUUGAAUUCUCCAUUGUUGGGUAGCCGACAUCCUCUCAUAAUGUCUUUGCCGAACCUGAUGCCAAGUUAAACUAAUCUCCUGUAUGUGAUCCAUAUCUCUGCAUAUUCAUGUGCCUGUCCAAAAGCCUCUCAGAUGGCACUAAAGUAUCUUCCUUCACCAUCACCCCUCGCAGUGCGUUCCAGGCACCCGUAUGGUUUGUGGUGCACACAGGAGAAUGAGGAACCUGUUUCACUGCUGUGUGACUGUAAUGGAUUCAGGUGAUGCUGAGUAUACUUUAGGAUGGACAAGAGUUGGACAUAAAUGUAAAUGUGGAAGAGGUUUACCAGAAUGCUGUCUGGAUUAGAAGGUAUUAGCAAUAAAGAGAGGGUUUUUUUUCGGAGAAUGAGGGGAGACUUGACAAAAGUACAUAAAAUUAUGAGAUUUUAAAAAUAGGAUAGACAGUCAGGCAGUCAACCUUUUUUCCCCAUCAUGGAAAUGUCAAGGACUAGAGGCAUAGCCUUCUCUGUAAAAAACUUGCCUCGUACAUACACACUUCUUUUCUUUUUUUUUUCACUUAUUCUUUAUUGCUUUCAUGCAUACACAAAUAAAACACAAAUAUAACAACGAAACAUACAACAAUGCAAUGAAACGUACAACAGUGCAGCGGGGGCAUUCAAUUUACAAUUAAUGAUGCAGCAUACAGAACUAUUUUCUUAUUAAAACAUUUUCCAAUAACUUACAUUAUUGUCAAUAAAAUUAUACAGUGUUGAUGUCUUUAUUUCUAUACCUAAUCCAUUUCCCCCAUUUUCUGUUAAACUCGUCUUCUUUCACUCUUAGAGAAUACGUCAUUUUCUCCAUGACAAAUAUUUCCUGUACUAAGUCUAACCAUUGUCUAAGUCUGGGUGUGUCCGCUGCAAGCCAGUUUCUUGUAAUGGCCUUUCUGCCAGCUGUAAGUAGGAUUUUAACCAAGUAAUGAUCUUCCUUCAGCACCACUGUAUUUAUGUUACCCAGGUAUAAAAUGGAACACUUCUUGGAGACUAUAUAUCCUAAUACCUCGUUUAAUUCUGAAUUCACUCUGACCCCAAAUGGUUCUAUUUUUGGGCGACUCCAGAAGAUAUGUACAUGAUUUGCGUCUGUUUCGCCACUUUGCCUCCAGCAUGUUUGCUGCCUUAGAAUUUGCUUGCUUUUUAUGUUAGGCGUAAUGAAGAAACAAAUCAAAAAUUUCCAAUUAAAUUAAGUAAGUAAGUAAAUUUAUUGGCCAAGUAUUCACAUACAAGGAAUUUGCCUUGGUGCUCCACCCACAAGUAACAACAUGACAUACAGUGACAGUUACGAAUGACUCGGAAAACAGUAAACAUUAAUAAUAAUAAAACAUUAAUGAUAAAACACCAUUGAUCAAGCAUGUGAACCAACAAAAUACCAGAUCAAAGGGAGGCUACAGAUUUUUGGUUGUUGAGUAGAGCAACUACUCUCUCCAUUUUUGUGAAUUAGUGGAUGUCUUUAUUGUUACACACAUAUGAUGCCAUUCUUCUUCUGAGAUUGUGAUGUUCAAUUCCUUUUCCCACUUAAAUUUUACAUAAAAUGUCGUUUUAGCUUGACAUUCCAUUAAACUAUGAUAAAGUUUAGAAAUAAUCCUUAAUGGGUUUUGAUGAUGCGCAUUAACUAUCACUUCUAUCACUGGAUUAUUUCUUCUCAUGCCUCCCUUUUUACUUUUUUAUUGUAGUAAUCUCUCAGUUGGAGGUAUCUAAACAAGUCUUAGUUCCGAAGUGCAAAUCUAUCCUUCAAAUCUUGAAAACAUCUUAGUCUCCAAUUUCAGAAACAGUUCAUUCCUUUCUUCAUCCACUCUUUAAAUGUUGAGUCAUACAUCCCUGGUUUAAAUUAAUUAUCCAAAGCUAUCCAUCUUAAAACUUUUUGUCGUUUAUUCAGUUUAAGUUGUCUGGUAAGAGUGAACCAGGUUUCUAAAGUAAAUAUCAUUAUUGGAUCGAUUAUACUCCUGAAAUGUCCAGGAAGUGCUUUUUCUUCCAAGAGUGUUUGGAUGUGGAAGUCAGGGAUAUAUGUCUCAAUCUCUUUCCACCUAGCUAUAUAGCUGUCCUCACACCAAUUAAUUAAUGGUCGAAAUUGGGCUGCAUAGAAAUAUAUCCUAAAAUUUGGAGGUGCCAUUCCACCUUUAUCCUUUGGCAACUGGAGUGUAGUGUAUCGAACUCUGGCCUUCUUUCCUCCCCAAAUAGAUCUAGAUAUUAAUUUAUCCCAUUCCGUGAAUUGUUUUAAUGCUAUCUCUAUUGGCAGAGAUUGAAAUAAGUACAAUAGCCUUGGCAAAAUAUUCAUUUUCACCACAUUUAUCUUACUACUAAAAUCCAUUGGGUAGGUGGACCAUCUUUUGAUAUCCUUUCUUAUGUUUUGGUUGAUGUGAUUAUAAUUGGCCCCAUACAACAUUGAUAUAUGUUUUGUUAUAUGUACCCCUAGGUAUCUGAUUGAUUUUGACUCCCAUUUUAUAUUAUACAUUUGCUUGAUUUCUUCUGGAGGAGCACACUUCUUUUCAACACCUCUAGGCCGAAAACUGCAGAGCCAGGCCACAGUCUAGCAAAUGAUGGCGGAGGUCUCAGCUUCUUCUGAAACACACGGUGUCUCAAUGCAGCAAAGGCACCUCAGCCUACUGCACCAAAGCCUUGCUCGCUCACAGAUUGCCCCAGCUCUCCACCAGCCAGGAGCAGACUAUGUCAGCGCAUGAUUCAUAUCUUGGUGUAGGUUUCUUGGUGUAGGUUUCUAGGUGUGAUGUCUGCACUGCAGUCUGCCUUCCAGCAGGUUACAAGCUCAUCUGAUACCACAGUUUCGGAAUUAGUGCCAGUGUCUGGAAGAAUGGAAUGAUUUUUUUCAGGCACUUAUUUCAGGAUGGGAAAGUUUUAUUGUUAGUUGAGUUGCUGCCUCACAGCUCCAAUGGUUUGGCUUCAAUCCUGACCUCGGGUGCUCUCUAUGUAGAGUUUGCAUGUUCUACCUGUGACAGUAUGCGUUUGCCUACUGUGCUCGAUUUCUUCUUGCAUCUCAAAGCCCUGCAGUUCGGUAGGUUAAUUGGCCGCGUAAAUUGUCCUUAGCUUGUAGGUGAAUACAAGAUUGGUAAGUUGAUGAGAAUGCAGCAUUAAUGUGGGAAUAGUGUAAAUGGGCUGUACAAUACCUUGAUCGGCCCAAGGACUUGUUUCCGUGCUCUGCCUCUCUAUGACUUUGACCGUGAAGCGUGGUCUUCUCAGUGAGUCACGGCUGGAAUGUUACUUCCUCACUGCGGUGUCACAGGUGACAACUCAUAAAGAAAAUGCACGUUAUCGGAAAGGGGAGGAUCCACACUGUGAUCGCCAUUGACCACAUGAGCACAACUGGCAGGCAACGUCAUACAGACAAGAGGGACACGCACAUACACACACAGAUAUGUACAGACACGCACAUGCACACACACACAAUAGUUUAGUUUAUUAUUGUCAUGUGUACCGAGGUACAGUGAAAAGCUUUUAUUUGCGUGCUAUCCAGUCAAAAAGACUAUACAUGAUUGCAAUCAAGCCGUUUGCAAUGCACGGAUGAAGGAUAAAGGGCACAACAUUUAGUGCAAGAUAAAGUAUGAUAAUGUCUGAUUAAGGAUAGUUCAAAGGUCUCCAAUGAGGUAGAUAGGAGGCCAGGACUGCCCACUAGCUGAUAGGUGGACCAUUCAGUUCUCUGAUAACAGCUGGGAAGAAAUUGUUACCUGAAUUUAGAGGUAUGCAUUUUAAAACUACCUUUUACCUGAUGGGAGAAGGGAGAAGUGGGGGUGAGACUGGUGCUUGAUUAUGCUGUUGGUAUUACCAAGGCAACAUGAAUUCAAUAGAAGGAGGAUGGAGUCAAUAGAAGGGAAGUUGGUUUGCGUGAUGGUCUGGGCUACGUCCACAACUCUGCAAUUUCUUACCAAAUUGGAUGGAGGUGUUUCCAAACCAUUAACACACAUUCACCCAAGGACACACACACGCACAAACUCAGAUGCAUACGUACACAAGCAAACACACAUGUAUAGUACGUGAAGUGUUCAAACUGCAUGGAUUGUUAAUACAAAUUAAUAACG